GCCGGAGUGGUGGAAUGGCAGACACAAGGGACUUAAAAUCCCUCGGGUGCAUAACCCGUGCCGGUUCGAGUCCGGCUUCCGGCA
rnacentral:tRNA from 1 species